CCCUUAGAUGUCCGGGGCCGCACGCGCGCUACACUGAAGGAAUCAGCGUGGCUUUCUCCCUGACCCGAAAGGGUUGGGAAACCCGUUGAAUCUCCUUCGUGAUAGGGAUUGGGGCUUGAAAUUGUUCCCCAUGAACGAGGAAUUCCCAGUAAGCGCGAGUCAUAAGCUCGCGUUGAUUACGUCCCUGCCCUUUGUACACACCGCCCGUCGCUACUACCGAUUGAACGGUAUAGUGAGGGCCUCGGAUUGGUCUCGGCCCGCUCUUUACCGGGCGGCGCCGUUGGUCGAGAAGACGCUCGAACUUGAUCGUUUAGAGGAAGUAAAAGUCGUAACA
rnacentral:rRNA from 1 species